UUAGUGGCGGACGGGUGAGUAACGCGUGGAUAACCUGCCGUAUACCGGGGGAUAACACUUAGAAAUAGGUGCUAAUACCGCAUAAGCGCACGGCUCCGCAUGGGGCAGUGUGAAAAACUCCGGUGGUAUACGAUGGAUCCGCGUCUGAUUAGCUAGUUGGCGGGGUAACGGCCCACCAAGGCAGCGAUCAGUAGCCGGCCUGAGAGGGUGGACGGCCACAUUGGGACUGAGACACGGCCCAAACUCCUACGGGAGGCAGCAG
rnacentral:rRNA from 1 species